CUGCUGCUGGGGAAUGAAGGAAUCCCAAUGUUCAUACAAAAUCAAUUAAGUCUUCUAAUUGCAGCUGCAACCUGAGAACACCCAGCAAGAAAAUCCUCAAGGAUGGAAAUCUGAAGGUGCAUCUUUGAUUGAUUCCAUGUGAAUUGUUUUCAUUUAAUGACCAAUCCCAGUCCAGCCGUGUCGGACUCUCUGAACAGGUUGCAGAAGAUGCCUCUAUGAGUUAAACACUGAAUUAAUUUCCUUCUGAAAAGAGAGAUGUCCCUGGAAUACUGAGGUGUCUAAGCAAAUGAAGUAUACUUCCAGACUGUUUCUGGGACAGGAGCCCCAAAAUGCCUCUGGUAGCCUUGUGGGGAAGUCCAGGAGCUUGCUACUGCUGCCACAUUUAGCCUGCACCAUCCAGAGACAGCUUUGAGCUACGUUUUGAAGCCUUGCUUUGCAAACAUAAAAGAUUGAACUGGCUGGUUUUGCUGUUUUAACCCUUUCAUCCAUCUUUAAAAUGGAGAAUGUGGCAGUUCUGCUUAGCAUAAAGCAACAAAAUGGAGGUAUAUCACAAGGAAAUGAGGAAAGCAGAAAGGGAGAACAAAAAAAGGCACAGCACACUCCUCUACAUGGAAGGAGGAAGAAGGGGGAGAAAGGGGAGGAAAACCUGGGAAAGAAUACAAGGCUGAAUAAUGCAGUGGGGAAAAAAACCCAGCAUCUGGAUUUGCUGUGUGAGAAAGGAAUAUAACAGCAAACUGAAAACUAGCCCCAAAAGACCAUUCCUGGAGGAAUUUAAUGGCUAUAUGAACAAAUUAAAUAUUGGUAAGAAUACAGAGUAAGUAAAGCAACAGGGUAAACAGAGCUACAGUGAAAAACCACAGAUAAUUCUCCUUAUUAAAAAAGACAACAUUUUUGUUGGAGAAAAGUAGCAAAGACUUUCAACAAAGCAAUUUCAACUAGAAGUCACUGAAACCAGUGGAAGCUUUUGCAGUGUCUUAUACAGACUGUGCCAGACCCUCAGCCCUUCUUGAGCAAAUAAUUUGUAGGAUGUACCAGGUGUGCAAACAGCCAUGGGCUGCUCUUCUGUUGUCUUCAACAAUGCAAAAAUAAUGCACAAUGUAGACUUUAAUAUUCCUCAUUCAUGCCUAGUACUCACCAUGUUUAUCCAUGUGAAGAAAACUGGCCCAAAUUUAUUUGUAGUCAGGAAACUGGAGAGUUGGGAGCAGUGUUUAUCCAAGCAGUAAGACUUGUUGCAAAGAUGGAAAACCUUUGAGGGGCUCAGGUGUCUGGAUCUCUGCAGCACUGAGGUGUCAGGGGAGUCCCUUUGCUUUCAUUCCCUCUCCAGCACACGUCUGUGCAGAACAGGCACCAAGAGAGGAGCUCCUUGGCAGGAGCUGGCAGGAGGGUCAGGGACAACUGAUCAAAUCCUAGAUUUUGGGCAGCUGAAGGUACCAGGCUGUGUUGGUGAGGGCUGGAAAUGUGCUACUUUUUGGUAGCCACCAGUUAGCAAAAUUUGGUCUAAGUGUGUGCAAACAAAACCCUUCAGAUGAGGCACCUUCCUCAGGUACCUUCUGUCUGUAGUCAGCAGGAGCUUCCUCUCACCCCACCACAACACCUGCCAUUACCUGCUGCAAGAAAAGGCCUGACACAAUGGGACUUGCUAAACAAACAUUUUGUGCCAAGGCAGAAACUUAAUCAUCCCUGCUGCAGAUUAAAGAGGGUAAAAGGAUUUUCUGCAUCUGGGGAAUUCACCACUGUACCCUGCUGUUGCAGUUUUCCCCCUUCUAAUAAUAAUCUGUUAUCCCACAGGCACUACCACCACUGCUAUAGUCUUACUUUUUAAAAAGAAUUUUUUAAAAAUCUUCUCUGCUGUAAUAUUUCAUCAACAACAAAUGCACUUAUGAUGAUACAGUAAGAAAACUCCCCAAGUGCUUCCAGAGCCAGAGAGAUUGAUAGACCUUGCCAUAGUCUGGGAACUUAGCCUUCGUUAGGUCAAGCUAAAUUACCUUACAAAUAACUUAGCCUCUACCCACAGCUCCUUGAUUCUGAACUGAUAGAUUAUGUAGCCAUUAAUCAGCUCCAGGUCUGGCCUUUGCUUUUGACUUCUAGAAAGUAAACUUAUUCCAUGCUGCUCCUCUUAUUGAGUUUCUCAGAUACAUUCAUACCCAUAAAAUAAAAAGUAAAAAGGAAAAAAAAUCUCAUUUCCUACUAAGCGCUGAUGAUUUCUCAUGCUUCAUGAAAGACUGAACACACCUUUUAAUAAAUUUGUUUGUAAUGCACCAAUUUCAUUUUGCCUCCUCCCAAGGAAGCAGAUUUCAGUUUGAUGAGCUGGAAGACACGAGAGAUUAUUUAUGGCUGUUUGUCUGGGUCUGUAGUCAGCUGCAGAGUCAUAAAUUUGGAAGACAGCACAGUAACUGAUCUUCAGUUAAUUUCCUGGAAAGUCUGAAAACUUUGUUCUGGGUGAUCGCUGACAAAGAUAAAAUAACAAUAAAAUGACCCAAGAUGGGCAAACCAAAUUUGUUAGUUUUGAUAAAGAUCAUUUUUAUCAGAGCUCUGAAGGACUUCAUUCACCGAUCCAACACCAUUCCCUACAUAAAACCAGUGAAAAUUCACUUUCAUACCCUGAUCAGAUUUGUUUGGCCUGGACUCCUGUAGCUGUGUUUAGCUCUAAGAUGCAUGUCUUUAACAAGAAAUAUUUUCAUAUCCAAGGGCUGAAUUUCACCCAGAGAGGUUGUUCAAUGAGGUUUCAUUUUGAGAGAUGAUCAAAGGCCUUAUCACUCAUUUCUGCUCCAGCUCCCCACAGAUGGUGGAUACACACUCGAAAUAAAGUUCUGACUUUCCAUUACUGUCAUAAAAUGAGUUGUAGAACCACCCUUUCUUCAUUUGUCUUACUUAAAAAUAUAUCUUCUGGCUCAUGGGAAAAAAAAAAAAAAAAGAAAACUCUUAUCCAUAGGUGAUUAAUGAACCUGCAGAUUUAGUCAAUAGCCUCCCAGGGGCCUUUCUACCCAGAGUCCUGCUUC